GCAGGGGUGACGGAACUGGUAUACGUGCCUGAUUUAGAAUGAGGAUUUUGAGAGUUCGAAUCUCUCUCCCUGUA
rnacentral:tRNA from 1 species